GGAUACUCACUUUGGCAACUCAUAUGCUAAAAUUGGAACUAUACAGAGAAGAUUAGCAUGGCCCUUGGCAAGUAUGACAGGCAAAUUCGUGAAGCAUUCCAUAUUAAA